rnacentral:siRNA from 1 species
CAUUGUUGUUCAUGUGUGUAUUGC